rnacentral:rRNA from 1 species
UACGUAGGGUGCGAGCGUUAAUCGGAAUUACUGGGCGUAAAGCGUGCGCAGGCGGUUUUUCAAGUCUGAUGUGAAAGCCCCGGGCUUAACCUGGGAACUGCGUUGGAAACUGAAAGACUAGAGUGCGGCAGAGGGGGGUAGAAUUCCACGUGUAGCAGUGAAAUGCGUAGAUAUGUGGAGGAAUACCGAUGGCGAAGGCAGCCCCCUGGGUCGACACUGACGCUCAUGCACGAAAGCGUGGGUAGCAAAC